rnacentral:rRNA from 1 species
UACGAAGGGGGCUAGCGUUGCUCGGAAUGACUGGGCGUAAAGGGCGCGUAGGCGGACGGCUUUGUCGGGCGUGAAAUUCCAGGGCUUAACCUUGGGGCUGCGUUCGAGACGGGUUGUCUAGAGUUUGGAAGAGGGUCGUGGAAUUCCCAGUGUAGAGGUGAAAUUCGUAGAUAUUGGGAAGAACACCGGUGGCGAAGGCGGCGACCUGGUCCUUGACUGACGCUGAGGCGCGAAAGCGUGGGGGAGCGAACAGG